UAGCUCCUGUGAGCCCAGGCUAGUGUGAAGGGAAACUAACAAAUUCGAAGAUUCAAUAUCAGGAAUCUACUAUCCAUUUAAUGAAGAGUAUAGAAAUUAAAUGGUAACAUGUAACGCAGGAGUAAAGUUCGUAAAAUUGUAGUAGCAAAGUAAAAUAAAAAUAACUGAUAAAUAAUUAAAGGUAAAUUUUCAAUCUGUAUUUUAUUAGUGGUCGUCUUACUUAGAAUCAAAUUGAUCAGUAGUAGUCAAAGAGACCUUUAAAAAUGACGAUAUAUAAGCUACUAUACUAUCUAUAGUGCUGGAGCUCCGGUACUAUAGUCUUCUUUUCGAUCUUAGGGUGUUCAAAUUAACGAUCCACACCGUUAAAUAUGAUUUAGGGUAUAUGAAGUUCUUAGGAAUAAAAUUUUAGUUUUUUUCGACAUCGUUUACUUAGUAAAUAAAUUAUAUCAAAAUGGACGGUGGAAAUUGAAUAAUCUUUAAAAUUUGAGUAUAGAACUUUUAAAUUCAAGAUCAAGAAUGUUAACCUUAAUCUAGAUAGUUUAAAGUAUUUUCUAUCAAAAUUUGAAGAAAUUUAGAUUCUUCUAUACCGUUAAACUCCAAACUCGCCAUAAUAGCCAUUGAAAAUUGACAAUUCUGAAAUGAUUUGAUUAUAAAGUAAACUAUGUCGAAAAAAUAUAAAAUUUUAUUUCUAAAAACUUUAAAUACCCUAGAUCAGUUUUAACGGUAUGGAUCGUUGAUUUAAACA
rnacentral:lncRNA from 1 species